rnacentral:rRNA from 1 species
CGCAGCCGCGGUAAUUCCAGCUCCAAUAGCGUAUAUUAAAGUUGUUGCAGUUAAAAAGCUCGUAGUUGAACUUCGGGGUUUACUCAUUGGUCAGGCUUAAUUGUCUGUACUGGUGAGAUGAGUCUCUACCUUCUGAGGAACUUUCAUGCCAUUUGUUUGGUGUGGUUGGAAAUCAGGACUGUUACUUUGAAAAAUUAGAGUGUUUAAAGCAGGCUAACGUCUGAAUACAUUAGCAUGGAAUAAUGAAAUAGGACGGAUUGAUUCUAUUUCGUUGGUUUCUAGGGUCACCGUAAUGAUUAAUAGGGAUAGUUGGGGGCAUUAGUAUUCAAUUGUCAGAGGUGAAAUUCUUGGAUUUAUUGAAGACUAACUACUGCGAAAGCAUUUGCCAAGGAUGUUUUCAUUAAUCAAGAACGAAAGUUAGGGGAUCGAAGACGAUCAGAUACCGUCGUAGUCUUAACCAUAAACUAUGCCGACUAGGGACCGGACGCAGUUAAUUUUAUAAUGACGUGUUCGGCACCUU